AUGAACGCUGGCGGUAUGCUUAACACAUGCAAGUCGAACGGUCACUUCGGUGAUAGUGGCGGACGGGUGGGUAACGCGUGAGAAUCUGUCUUCAGGUCGGGGACAACAGUUAGAAAUGACUGCUAAUACCGGAUGUGCCUUUGGGUGAAAGAUUUAUUGCCUGAAAAAGAGCUCGCGUCAGAUUAGCUAGUAGGUGGUGUAAGAGACUACCUAGGCUCCGAUCUGUAGCUGGUCUGAGAGGACGAUCAGCCACACUGGAACUGAGACACGGUCCAGACUCCUACGGGAGGCAGCAGUGGGGAAUUUUCCGCAAUGGGCGAAAGCCUGACGGAGCAAUACCGCGUGAGGGACGAAGGCUUUUGGGUCGUAAACCUCUUUUCUCAAGGAAGAUGAUGACGGUACUUGAGGAAUAAGCAUCGGCUAACUCUGUG
rnacentral:rRNA from 1 species